rnacentral:lncRNA from 1 species
GAUUAAAAAAAAAAAAUAGACUGACCCCCACUAUAAACUUUGUAAUUAUAUAAAAUAAACUAAUAACCAACUUAUUGCUUCGUAUUGUCGAGAUCCCAAGAAACGGUCACUAUAUGAAUGAGUGGAUCUAUCAUAUGGUUGUAGCAACUGAAAUUCUUUCAAGAAAAAAUAAAUCUGAUUAUGGGUUGUAAAGCAAAAAAAAAAAAUAAAGGGAUAUGGAUAAAUGGAAGGAUGAUAGAAAGAAAGAACAAAAAUAUCAAUGAUAUAUGAUUCCAAUAUGUAUGGUCUAUGAAUCACGUCAUAAAAGGCAGUGUGAUAAAGCAUCAAUACUGAUAAGAUAAUUAGAAAUAUAAGAAUUUGUAAAUGAAAUAAUUUUAAAUAGAAUAAAAUAAUAAAGAGCAUUCGGGUUAAUAAAAACUGAGGAUAUUGACUCGGGAACGAAUUUUGUUGGAAGCUCUAUGGUUACGAUUUUGCCAGAUAUGUCUUUUUGAUUCCGUC